GACGAACGCUGGCGGCGUGCUUCAUACAUGCAAGUCGAACGAGAAGCAAGAGCUUGCUCUUGUGGAAAGUGGCGGACGGGUGAGUAACACGUAGGAAAUCUGCCCUUUAGCGGGGGACAACAGUUGGAAACGACUGCUAAUACCCCAUAUGAGCUAUGCUGAAAUGCAUAUCUUGAAAACUCCGGUGCUAAAGGAUGAGCCUGCGCCUGAUUAGCUAGUUGGCGGUGUAAUUGACCACCAAGGCGAUGAUCAGUAGCUGGUUUGAGAGGAUGAUCAGCCACAAUGGGACUGAGACACGGCCCAU
rnacentral:rRNA from 1 species